UACGUAGGGGGCAAGCGUUGUCCGGAAUCAUUGGGCGUAAAGAGCGUGUAGGCGGUUCGGUAAGUCUGCUGUGAAAGUCCAGGGCUCAACCCUGGGAUGGCGGUGGAUACUGCUGGGCUAGAGUACGGAAGAGGCGAGUGGAAUUCCCGGUGUAGCGGUGAAAUGCGCAGAUAUCGGGAAGAACACCAGUGGCUAAGGCGGCUCUCUAGUACGGUACUGACGCUGAGACGCGAAAGCGUGGGGAGCGAACAGG
rnacentral:rRNA from 1 species